AUGGUUAUGGGAAGAGGCUGUUUCUGGCACAGUGGCUGGCCGAGGCUGAAUCCCCUCCGCACCUCGCCAUGCUGGCUCCAAAGGCAGGUCUUCACAGGGCUGGCCCAGGCCCGCUUUGAUGUGGAGCAUCCAAGGCUGGAGUGCAAUGCUGCGAUCUCGGCUCACCGCAACCUCCACCUCCUUGGGUUCAGGCAAUUCUCCUGCCUCAGCCUCCUGAGUAGCUGGGAUUACAGGCACGCGCCACCAUGCCCAGCUAAUUUUUUGUAUUUUUAGUAGAGACGGGGUUUCACCAUGUUGACCAGGAUGGUCUCGAUCUCUUGACCUCGUGAUCCACCCGCCUCGGCCUCCCAAAGUGCUGGGAUCCACCGCACCUGGCCCUACGUGCUGUUUUAAUGUCUUCUUAUUGCUAUAUUUCUCCUUGAUAUGUAAGGUGUUUGUGCAUACAUGGCAAAAAUUAUAGUCUUGAUUCACGUUAAUAAAUUUUGCUUGAGUUACCA
rnacentral:lncRNA from 13 species